AUUGAACGCUGGCGGCACGCCUAACACAUGCAAGUCGAGCGGCAGCGAGACUAGUAGCAAUACUAGUUGUCGGCGAGCGGCGGACGGGUGAGUAACACGUAGGAAUCUGCCCUUAAGCGGGGGAUAACCAAGGGAAACUUUGGCUAAUACCGCAUAAUCUCGAGAGAGCAAAGCUGCCCGCAAGGGUGGCACUUGAGGAGGAGCCUGCGUCCGAUUAGCUAGUUGGUGGGGUAAUGGCCUACCAAGGCGAUGAUCGGUAACUGGCCUGAGAGGACGACCAGUCACACUGGGACUGAGACACGGCCCAGACGCCUACGGGAGGCAGCAGUGGGGAAUAUUGGACAAUGGGGGCAACCCUGAUCCAGCGAUGCCGCGUGAGUGAAGAAGGCCUUCGGGUCGUAAAGCUCUUAGGUUGGGAAGAAGGGUAUUGGCUGAAUAAUCCAGUACUUUGACGGUACCGACAGAAUAAGCACCGGCAAACUCUGUGCCAGCAGCCGCCGUAACAC
rnacentral:rRNA from 1 species